GCCUCUAUGGCGUAGUGGUAGCGCGUCGCACUUGUAAUGCGAAGGUCUCUCGUUCGAUCCGGGAUGGAGGCA